CCAGACUCCUACGGGAGGCAGCAGUGGGGGAUAUUGCACAAUGGGGGGAACCCUGAUGCAGCGACGCCGCGUGGGUGAAGGAGCGUUUCGGCGCGUAAAGCCCUAUCGGCAGGGAAGAAGGAGGACGGUACCUGACUAAGAAGCCCCGGCUAACUACGUGCCAGCAGCCGCGGUAAUACGUAGGGGGCGAGCGUUAUCCGGAUUCACUGGGUGUAAAGGGAGCGUAGACGGCCAUGCAAGCCAGGGGUGAAAGCCCGGGGCCCAACCCCGGGACUGCCCUUGGAACUGUGCGGCUAGAGUGCGGGAGGGGCAGGCGGAAUUCCUGGUGUAGCGGUGAAAUGCGUAGAUAUUAGGAGGAACACCAGUGGCGAAGGCGGCUUACUGGACUGUAACUGACGUUGAGGCUCGAAAGCGUGGGGAGCAAACAGGAUUAGAUACCCCCGUA
rnacentral:rRNA from 1 species